AACGAACGCUGGCGGCAUGCCUAACACAUGCAAGUCGAACGAGGCCUUCGGGUCUAGUGGCGCACGGGUGCGUAACGCGUGGGAACCUGCCCUUAGGUUCGGAAUAACUCCCCGAAAGGGGUGCUAAUACCGGAUAAUGUCUUCGGACCAAAGAUUUAUCGCCUUUGGAUGGGCCCGCGUUGGAUUAGCUAGUUGGUAGGGUAAAAGCCUACCAAGGCGACGAUCCAUAGCUGGUCUGAGAGGAUGAUCAGCCACACUGGGACUGAGACACGGCCCAGACUCCUACGGGAGGCAGCAGUGGGGAAUAUUGGACAAUGGGCGGAAGCCUGAUCCAGCAAUGCCGCGUGAGUGAUGAAGGCCUUAGGGUUGUAAAGCUCUUUUACCCGGGAUGAUAAUGACAGUACCGGGAGAAUAAGCUCCGGCUAACUCCGUG
rnacentral:rRNA from 1 species